rnacentral:rRNA from 1 species
GAUGAACGCUGGCGGCGUGCUUAACACAUGCAAGUCGAACGGAAAGGCCCAAGCUUGCUUGGGUACUCGAGUGGCGAACGGGUGAGUAACACGUGGGUGAUCUGCCCUGCACUUCGGGAUAAGCCUGGGAAACUGGGUCUAAUACCGGAUAGGACGAUGGUUUGGAUGCCAUUGUGGAAAGUUUUUUCGGUGUGGGAUGAGCUCGCGGCCUAUCAGCUUGUUGGUGGGGUAAUGGCCUACCAAGGCGUCGACGGGUAGCCGGCCUGAGAGGGUGUACGGCCACAUUGGGACUGAGAUACGGCCCAGACUCCUACGGGAGGCAGCAGUGGGGAAUAUUGCACAAUGGGCGCAAGCCUGAUGCAGCGACGCCGCGUGGGGAUGACGGCCUUCGGGUUGUAAACUCCUUUCGCUAGGGACGAAGCGUUUUUGUGACGGUACCUGGAGAAGAAGCACCGGCUAACUACGUG